UACGAAGGGGGCUCGCGUUGUUCGGAAUUACUGGGCGUAAAGCGUAUGUAGGCGGAUCGUUAAGUCGGGGGUGCAAUCCCGAGGCUCAACCUCGGAACUGCCUUCGAUACUGGCGAUCUUCGAGUCCGGGAGAGGUGAGUGGAACUCCGAGUGUAGAGGUGAAAUUCGUAGAUAUUCGGAAGAACACCAGUGGCGAAGGCGGCUCACUGGCCCGGUACUGACGCUGAAAUACGAAAGCGUGGGGAGCAAACAGG
rnacentral:rRNA from 1 species